rnacentral:tRNA from 1 species
GGUGGCUCAGUGGUAGAGCGCUUGUCUAGCAUGCAUGAAGCCCUGGGUUCGAUUCCUCAGUACCA